AAGGGAAGCGAGCCGGUGACGGUAAGCAAAUCCCAGAAAUAACGUCCCAGUUCGGAUUGUAGUCUGCAACUCGACUACAUGAAGCUGGAAUCGCUAGUAAUCGCGGAUCAGAAUGCCGCGGUGAAUACGUUCCCGGGUCUUGUACACACCGCCCGUCACACCAUGGGAGUCGGAAAUGCCCGAAGUCUGUGACCUAACCGAAAGGGAGGAGCAGCCGAAGGCAGGUCUGAUGACUGGGGUGAAGUCGUAACAAGGUACC
rnacentral:rRNA from 1 species